rnacentral:rRNA from 1 species
AUUGAACGCUGGCGGCAUGCCUUACACAUGCAAGUCGAACGGCAGCACGGGAGCAAUCCUGGUGGCGAGUGGCGAACGGGUGAGUAAUAUAUCGGAACGUGCCCAGUCGUGGGGGAUAACGCAGCGAAAGCUGUGCUAAUACCGCAUACGAUCUCUGGAUGAAAGCGGGGGACUCGCAAGAGCCUCGCGCGAUUGGAGCGGCCGAUAUCAGAUUAGCUAGUUGGUGGGGUAAAAGCUCACCAAGGCGACGAUCUGUAGCUGGUCUGAGAGGACGACCAGCCACACUGGAACUGAGACACGGUCCAGACUCCCACGGGAGGCAGCAGUGGGGAAUUUUGGACAAUGGGCGCAAGCCUGAUCCAGCAAUGCCGCGUGCAGGAUGAAGGCCUUCGGGUUGUAAACUGCUUUUGUACGGAACGAAACGGCUCUUUCUAAUAAAGAGGGCUAAUGACGGUACCGUAAGAAUAAGCACCGGCUA